rnacentral:rRNA from 1 species
UACGUAGGGGGCAAGCGUUGUCCGGAAUCAUUGGGCGUAAAGAGCGCGUAGGCGGCCCUGUAAGUCCGCUGUGAAAGUCAAGGGCUCAACCCUUGAAUGCCGGUGGAUACUGCAGGGCUAGAGACCGGAAGAGGCGAGUGGAAUUCCUGGUGUAGCGGUGAAAUGCGCAGAUAUCAGGAGGAACACCAAUGGCGAAGGCAGCUCGCUGGAACGGUACUGACGCUGAGGCGCGAAAGCUAGGGUAGCAAACGGG